rnacentral:rRNA from 1 species
GACGAACGCUGGCGGCGUGCUUAACACAUGCAAGUCGAGCGGAGCAGCGAACGGGAGAGUAACGCGUGAGUAACUGCCCCCCUCUCUGGGAUAACAGUUGGAAACGGCUGCUAAUACCAGAUAGUGGGGGAUGACUCGCGUCCGGUCAGCUUGUGGGGGGGGUAUGGGCCGACCAAGGGGUCGACGGGUAGCCCGCCUGAGAGGGCGACCGGCCACAUUGGGCUGAGAUAGGGCCCAAUCUGCUACGGGAGGCAGCAGUGGGGAAUAUUGCCCAAUGGGGGAAACCCUGAGGAAGAAGCGCCGCGUGCGGGAGGACGGCCUUCUGGUGGUAAACCGCUUUCAGCCAUGACGCGGUAGUGGCAGAAGAAGCACCGGCUAACUACGUGCCAGCAGCCGCGGUAAUUC